GGCGGACGGGCGGCGGCGUGGGGGGGCGGGGGGGCUGGGGCCCGCCGAGGGGGGCGGCCGGGGCUGGCGGGCGGGACCCUGCUGAUCGGCCCGCCGGCGGGGCCCGGGCCUCCCGAGCCCUUCCUCCUCUCCAGAGGCCUGUGGCUGGAGCGCGGCGCUCGCCCCCUGGCCCACAGGACCAGAAGGAGGUUCAAGGGCACCCCGGCCCCAGAUCACGGGUCUAGCCACCUGGAUCGUAUCUCGGGGCUGUUCCUCACAGUGAGGCGGCCAUCAACAGCUCACUUCACCUCUCUGGCCUCAGUUUCUCCUGUGUAAAGCCCCUGGGUUGGAGGAGGCAUGGUUUCUGAGGUCCCUUCCAGCUGUCCGGGGCUGUGAUUGUCCGCCUGGACCGUCCCUCGCAGCAGGAGGUCUGGAAAGCCCAGGGUGACGUCUGGCCAGUUACCCAACCUCAGCGUUAUCACCUGUGCAAUGGAGACGAUCGCCGUAGACACUGCAGCGGGGCGGUGGGGAGGCUCGCCGGACAUCAGAGCUGGAGCAACAGCGCAGGCACUCUAAACUCCAGGCCCCCUGGCUCACUGCCUAUUCCAAGCCACGACCCUUGGCUAGGAGUUAAAGACAGCACCUGUUCAGCGUUUGAGGGCGAAGAAAAAGAAAGAGAAGAAGAAGGAGAAGAAGGAGAAGAAAAAGGAGGAGGAGAAGAAGAAGAAAAAGAAGAAGAAGAAGGGGAAGAAGGGGAGGAGGAGGAGGGGAGGGGAGGAGGAGGAGGAGGAAGAAGACUCAACUUAAAAAAAAACAGACAGGAGGAAUCAUCCUCCAAGCCAAACGCCAUAAUUCAUCAUGCCUUUAUUCGCUGAGUGGGACUAACUGGUAUUUAUGACCAACAGGCCCUGGACUCACCCUGAGUUGAGCGAUUCAGGAGUUGCCCAAACUCUGGCAGCAGGGAGGAAAGACACGGGGCUGGGGAGAUCAGACAACUUGCAGGGGAGAUUUUCUUAUUCACGAUUGGUGUGAUUUUUUUUAUCUACUUAAUGUUAAGUGUAGUUUUGGAAUUUUCGUACAGGUUUCUGGGAAGAUGAUAACCUCAAACAGUAUCUGUUCACUUGAGGUCGGUUGUGGGCUUGGAACUGGGCUGUAUGCUGUGGCCCCACGCACUCAUUCAUUCAAGAUUUACUAGGUGCCUUCCUUACGCCUGAGAAGCUGUUGCAGGCCCUGGAGAUAAAGCAGUGCGCAGGGCAGCAAAGGUCCCUGUCCUGAUGAAGUUUACAGUCUUGUUUGUUUGUUUGCUUUUACAUGGAGAUACUUAAUGAUAUCUUAGGUUUAGGCACCUUGAUGUAUCUUUUCAUCUCUUUAUGCUAUAUUUUUAUUUGAUAUUGACAUAACAGUGCUUUUCCUUAUUUUUUUUUUUUUUUGAAGUUUACGGUCUUGGCAGAAAGACACAUAACCAAAUAAAUAGUAAAUAUAUGUCGGAUGGUAAUGUGUACUGAGAAGAAAAACACGGCCCCCAGUGGCUAGAAGCCUACAGGAAAAGGCCCCGGAGCCAUGCAGAGGUGUGGGGAGGUCCCAGGGAGGAAGGAAGGUCAUCCACCAGGUGGCCGAUCCUGGUCGGGUUGGGACAGCCCAGCAUGACUGUGGACCCAAGGGCCAGUCCCCAUAGCUGGGAGUUUCUGGAUGGCCGGGCUGCUGGAUGCCCCCCUGCCCUCUGCUGGAACCUUUCCUGGGGCACAUAGGUCCUUCCUGGCUGUGUGCUUGGGCCUCUGUCAUGCUGAGAGCACCCCGAGGGCUGUUUCUCCCAGAGCCUUACCCCUCCCUAUUGUACCUACACUUUGCAGAGCCCAAAGAUUUCUGCCGAAAGCUGGAUGGAGUCUGUGAUAUUUCAAGAUGUUGACCUUAAGAAUGGCUAUACUGUUUGCUAUAGACUGAACGUUUGUGGUUUGUGUCCUCUCAAAAUUCCUAUGUUGAAAUCCUAAGCCCCAGUGUGAUGGUAUUCGGAGGUGGGACAUUUGGGAGGCGAUUAGGACUUUGGGAUGGGAUUAGUGCCCCCCUAAGAUCACCCAGAGAGCUCUCUUACCCCUUCUGCCAUGCGAGGACCUGGUGAAAGACGGCUGAACCUAGCCAAGCUGGUGUCUUGACCUUGGACUUCCCAGCUUCUAGAAUUGUGAGAAAUAAACUUCUGAUGUUACAAACACCCCCGUCUAUGGUACUUUUGCUUAAGCAGCCUGAAGAGACUAGAUGAUGUUAGAGGAAAUAUGGGGGACAGGGAAACGAACAAGCUACGUGACACCAGGAGGAGACAGCUACAUCCAGAAUGUGGGGCAUUCUGCAACACAACCGGCCUGGUCUCUUUAAAAAAACCCAACAAUGUAAUAAAAAAUAAGAGGAUGGGAGAACUGUUCUAGAUUCAAAGGAACAUAUAGUCAAAUGGGAUGCAUCCUCCUUAAGCAGACCCUGGUUCGAAGAGGCAGGCUACGACAGACAUUUUAGGGAUGCUGUGGAGAAUUCGAAUAGACUGGUUUUCAAAUGGUAUUCGGAUAUUAUUGUUCAUUUUUGUAGGUGUGAUAAUAGUAUUGCAGUUAGAUGAGAAUAUCUCUAUUUUGAUACGACAGUGGUGUGGGGGGGAGGGACAUGGGAUGAUAUCCAUAAUUCUGAAAUUGUUCAGCAAAUUAAUAAGUAAAUAAAAUC
rnacentral:lncRNA from 1 species